rnacentral:rRNA from 1 species
CGCGGUGCAUUAGUUAGUUGGUGAGGUAAAGGCUCACCAAGACCGUGAUGCAUAGCCGACCUGAGAGGGUAAUCGGCCACACUGGGACUGAGACACGGCCCAGACUCCUACGGGAGGCAGCAGUAGGGAAUCUUCCACAAUGGACGAAAGUCUGAUGGAGCAACGCCGCGUGAGUGAAGAAGGUUUUCGGAUCGUAAAACUCUGUUGUUGGAGAAGAAUGUAUCUGAUAGUAACUGAUCAGGUAGUGACGGUAUCCAACCAGAAAGCCACGGCUAACUACGUGCCAGCAGCCGCGGUAAUACGUAGGUGGCAAGCGUUGUCCGGAUUUAUUGGGCGUAAAGCGAGCGCAGGCGGUUUCUUAAGUCUGAUGUGAAAGCCUUCGGCUCAACCGAAGAAGUGCAUCGGAAACUGGGAAACUUGAGUGCAGAAGAGGACAGUGGAACUCCAUGUGUAGCGGUGAAAUGCGUAGAUAUAUGGAAGAACACCAGUGGCGAAAGCGGCUGUCUGGUCUGUAACUGACGCUGAGGCUCGAAAGCAUGGGUAGCAAACAGGAUUAGAUACCCUGGUAGUCCAUGCCGUAAACGAUGAGUGCUAGGUGUUGGAGGGUUUCCGCCCUUCAGUGCCGCAGCUAACGCAUUAAGCACUCCGCCUGGGGAGUACGACCGCAAGGUUGAAACUCAAAGGGAUUGACGGGGCCCGCCCAAGCGGUGGAGCAUGUGGUUUAAUUCAAAUCAACUCGAAGAACCUUACCAGGUCUUG